GUCUUAUUGUUAAUAAUUUUAAGUCGAUCUGCCCAAUGAUAAUUAUUAAAUGGCUGCAGUAUAACUGACUGUACAAAGGUAGCAUAAUCAAUUGGUUUUUAAAUGAAAUCUGGAAUGAAAGGAUUAAUGAAAUAUAUUCUGUCUCAUAUAUAUUUUAUGAAUUUAAAAUUUUAAUAAAAAUGUUAAAAUUUUUUUAUGGGACGAUAAGACCCUAUAGAAUUUUAUAUAAAAUUUUAUUUGUAAUUAAUAUAAAUUAAAAUUUUAUAUUUAAUUGGGAGAAUUAUUAAAUUUAAUAAAUUUUAAUUUUUAUAAACUUUGAUUUAAGAAAAUUGAAUUGAUCUUUAAUUUAAAAUUAAUAGAAUAAAUUACCUUAGGGAUAACAGCGUUAUAUUUUUUUAUAGAUCUUAUAGAAAAAAAUGAUUGCGACCUCGAUGUUGAAUUAAGAUAAAUUUUAAAUGCAGGAGUUUAAUGAUUAAGUCUGUUCGACUUUUAAUAUCUUACAUGAUUUGAGUUCAAAUCGACGUAA
rnacentral:rRNA from 1 species